UGGGGAAUAUUGCACAAUGGGCGCAAGCCUGAUGCAGCCAUGCCGCGUGUGUGAAGAAGGCCUUCGGUUGUAAAGCACUUUCAGCGAGGAGGAAGGUGGUGAGCUUAAUACGCUCAUCAAUUGACGUUACUCGCAGAAGAAGCACCGGCUAACUCCGUGCCAGCAGCCGCGGUAAUACGGAGGGUGCAAGCGUUAAUCGGAAUUACUGGGCGUAAAGCGCACGCAGGCGGUUUGUUAAGUCAGAUGUGAAAUCCCCGGGCUCAACCUGGGAACUGCAUUUGAAACUGGCAAGCUAGAGUCUCGUAGAGGGGGGUAGAAUUCCAGGUGUAGCGGUGAAAUGCGUAGAGAUCUGGAGGAAUACCGGUGGCGAAGGCGGCCCCCUGGACGAAGACUGACGCUCAGGUGCGAAAGCGUGGGGCAGCAAACAGGAUUAGAUACCCUGGUAGUCCACGCUGUAAACGAUGUCGAUUUUGGAGGUUGUGCCCUUGAGGCGUGGCUUCCGGAGCUAACGCGUUAAAUCGACCGCCUGGGGAGUACGGCCGCAAGG
rnacentral:rRNA from 1 species